rnacentral:rRNA from 1 species
CCGUGAGGGAAAGGCGAAAAGAACCCCUGUGAGGGGAGUGAAAUAGAUCCUGAAACCGCAUGCAUACAAGCAGUGGGAGCACCUUCGUGGUGUGACUGCGUACCUUUUGUAUAAUGGGUCAGCGACUUAUAUUCAGUAGCAAGGUUAACCGUAUAGGGGAGCCGUAGAGAAAUCGAGUCUUAAUAGGGCGUUUAGUUGCUGGGUAUAGACCCGAAACCAGGCGAUCUAUCCAUGAGCAGGUUGAAGGUUGGGUAACACUAACUGGAGGACCGAACCCACUG